AGUGACUUAGCUUUCCCGAUGCAGAAGGAAACUGCCACAGACAGCCACUGACAGGCUUGUGGGCACCCUGCAAGUUCUGAUGUGAACAGAGGGAGAGGAGGGAUGAUACACUCUUUAGGGAUGGCGCUGGCUGACAAAACAUGCAGCCUUGGGGUCAUCUCCGGGUUUCAUCUCAGUAACGUCUCACGGGGUGGCAGGCACCACCACCCCCAGGAAGUUGCACAGGGAAGAUGGUCUUUGUGUGUCAUUCGGCCAGUGAAUUCACAGGAUUCUGUGGUUUCAGACUGCAAAGAAAAAGGUGGAUGUUUUACUUGAAUGCAUCUCUGUGUACCACAUGUGUGCCUGACACUUCAGGAGGCCAGAAGAUGGCACCAGAUCCCCUGGAACUGGAGUUACCACGUAGCAACCAUGGGGCAGAGCUGCAAUGUAGGCAUUGGGAAUCAAACCGAGGUCCUCUGGAUAAAAACAGACAGAGCUCUCAACUGCUGAGCCAUCUCUUCAGCCCUGUUAGUCCCAUGAUUGCUCAACAGUGUUUUAUAUCUUACACAACAUUUCUAGGCUAAACCAAGCAUUGUAGAAGUUUCUCUUGAUCUCAUCUUCAUUAGUUAAAUGGCAGAAUAAUGGUUUUCAAAUCUUCAGGGUAUGGGACAGCAUUGCUGUGGGAGAGGAUAGCUGUAGGAGAGCAUUGCUGAGGGAGAGCAUUGGUGUGGGAGAGCAUUGGUGUGGGAGAGCAUUGGUGUGGGAGAGCAUUGCUGAGGGAGAGCAUUGGUGUGGGAGAGCAUUGCUGUGGAAGAGCAUUGGUGUGGGAGAGCAUUGGUGUGGGAGAGCAUUGGUGUGGGAGAGCAUUGGUGUGGGAGAGCAUUGGUGUGAUAGAGCAUUGGUGUGGGAGAGUAUUGCUGUGGGAGAGCCCUGCUGAGGGAGAGCAGCGCUCUGGAGGUAAGACUAGGUUUGACCUUUCCAU